UUGCCGAAGGCAGUAUUAAAGCCACAUAUGUCGACCCUGCAUUAAACAAGGAACACAGAAUGGAUUUUCUUCAACAUCGGAAACACCGUUGCCUAUGCGGACAAUCCGCCCAUUAAUCGUCUUUAUUGGCGUUAACUUUAUUGAACGUCCGCCUCUUUCUGAAACAGAAUCACUGUUGUCAAGCCUGCUCAUAUCAAAGAAAGAGCUUUCUGCUUGGAAUUCUUGGUUAAUAGUGAAAAUUCUAAAGGAAGGAUUUGCGGGUGUCUCCAAGCAUAUCUUCUCAUGAUCUACUUCUACUUUCAUUUAAUUCCUCUUUUCGUGAUAUGAACAGUCGUUAUUCUCUCCAUCGCCAUGGGAUCUCACUUGCCAGCAUCCCGUGGCACUUACGGAUACUGAGUGUUCAUCCAGUGUACCUGUUCAGGAAAACACGCAGAGAAAGACUUUUUGGAUACUUAACUAACCAGCUAACUAUAUUAUUUAUGUUUUCAGCUAGCAAUGAUGUUCAUGCUUGAUGCUAGGUAAUUUAUUCAAGUGUGCAAUCAGAUAAGUCUUGUGCUUCAACAAGCCAUUCAAGAUGAAUUUCACUGGAUUUACAGAGUCGGCGUCUGUGCGUUCGGCUACUGCAUCCGGACACGGUAGCAUGAAAACCGAUCCCCCUGAGAUUUACUUUAUAGAGAAGGCUGGCAUCGUGCCGACAGCCCUCGUUGGUCUGCUAGGAAACCUGCUUGCCCUUGUCGUGUGGAUGGCCGAGACCAGAUACAACGCCACCACAUUUCUGCUGAAAUGUCUCUGCGUUUGGGACAACGUGUUUUUAUUGACCUUUGUUAUUGCGAUACUUAGUUCAAAUGUCGCGUACCCUUACGCUGUGAUUUUCGUCCUCGGUGUGUCGCAGAUGUUGUCUGUUCACAUCACACUGAGCGCGACGGUGACUCGUCUGUUAGCGGUCACGAGACCUCUCCACGUACGCGACAUAUUGACCCCACGUCGUGUCUACGUGAUCCACGCUGGGGUCUUUGUGUGGUGCACUGCGCUAGAGAGCAUAAACACUGUAGCAUUGGUGAAGACACAGCUUCCAUUGCGGUUACGGUGGAAAAUCUUUGUCUCGAGACAAACACUUGGAUUUAUUUUACCUAUCGUGGCUCUGCUCAUCAUUAACGUCUGCCUGCUGAUCUUUCUGCGCAAAUUGCGAGCUGUGUCUCGCGCAUCACUUCAACGACGACCAUCCAGUGCCGCCGUGUCAGCUGACCGACGACUAAACAUCGCUGUUUUUUGCAUUUCCGUGUGCACUUUCAUCGCCUAUCCUGUCGGCAUCCUUUUCCAGGUGUUGGCGGACGGCAUCUACGGGGGUAUGAUCUAUUUUCCAUUGUACUGCAACCGGAGAUGCACCUUGAUUGUCGACAGCGUGUUUUAUCUGAUGCAGACGCUCAACUCUAGUGUCAACAUCAUCUUCUACCUGGUGUUCUCCACUCAGUUCCGAAACCUGUUGCUGCGCAGGGUUGAGCGAGUCCGAGGCCUUAGACGGUCUCUCAGCACGUCCUCAUCAUUUACCUCGAGCAAAAAGACUGGAGUGUCAUCUGUGUGACCGUGCCAUACUCUAGAAAACUGUUCAGUCAGGAAUGUUCGUGCGGUUGUUGUGUUGAUAAGACAAUGUCUUGAUGAAAAUGGAGUUUCUAUUUAGCUUCAAAAACAAUUACAAAAAAGGGAAAUAAUAGAUAAAGUUAAGAGCGCAUGAUACUGGAAAACGUCUUCAUUUUAAUACAUUUUUGGUCUCAUUUAAAAUAAUUACUAGAAUACAAUCUAAUAACAUUUUCAUUGCUUUGCAGCAGCUUGAGCAUUCCAACAAAAAUGUUAGAUAUAUACGCGUGUAGAUGUAUACACAUAAACAUCACACGGUCAUACACAAACUCAAACAUGUUUAUGCACUCAAAGUGAACAGCAGAGCAUAAUAGUACUACAGUUUAUAGCACAAACACGCAGCACACAGUAGAUGCUGCAAGAGCAAACCCCGGGCUGUUAAUCUGAAAUAGACAGUCUUCUCUAAUUUUAAAUAAAUUGUAAGACUGUCUAAUACUAGUUAACCAUUCUGAUACUAUUUCAUUAUUCUUAGCAUCAUCACUAUCACAAGUUCACACUAAGGUUUGUUGAGUAAACCAUUGUUACAUUCGUAAAUGCGAUUGUUGUCGCACUCCUGCAUUUAAUCUUCAACUCAUUAGAACUUGAGAUGUCGCGUACAGUCUGCGAUGACCGUAGGUAAAGUCGUUAUGAAAGUGUCCGGAGGACGGCGCUAGUGUUUGACUCUGGAGGGCAGGCGCCGGGUAGAGCUUUACGCCAAAUGAUUCGUGGAAAACAUAAUGACAUGGUGCAGCGUUCUUAGUGGCUGGCUUGGAGUGGCCUCUUAUAACCUACAGCAGCACAACGCUGUCAACCGUUGGGUUAGUUCCAGAGUGCCCGGUUGGCUGUUGCUAGGCGAUACUGAUGGGUGAUAUUUAACACGAGGACAGUCGUGUCUGUUUAGUUUUGUGACUGUGCAGGAAAGACGGAGCAUGUGAUGUAGUUCUACAUGGCUUAGAAAAUGCAUGGAGACAGAGAGAAAGAUUUUUCAAGUAGUAUUUCUUACUCUGCGAUGACCUCCUCCACGACAUAUUGAUCCAGACUUAUCUCUAACCAUCAUUUUAUUGGAACAGCUAGCUGCUGAUGCCAAAUUUAGAGCUUCAAGGGGCUUCUUUUUCAGAUUAGCCUUUCUUGGUAUUGUACAUUUAUCAAUCCACACAACUCAUUCUGCUUGGAAUUCAUGAUUACCUGCAAAGUGUCAAGAGGAAAGACGCGGGAUUUUUCGUCAAGCCUUCUAAUCGACUGCCAUUUAGUUCCUCUCUUUUGUGGUCGACUAUUGUAGUUCUGUCCGUUGUCUUCACGUCGCAGUUAACCUCAUCGUAUGAAAUGACAUUGUUCAUUAUAAUGUACAACAUGACAUUUAUCCUUACAGUGUACAACAUGAAUCAACAGAGGCCAUCUAGUAGAUGUAAUGUGUACUCAUAGAAAUCCGAAGUUUUCAACGAGUGGUCCUAUCUUGGAAAAAACCACAGUAGACUAUUUUUGCUCAGCAAGUUUCUUGUAGCUAGGUAAACCGUUCCAGUUAAAAACAAUAUUAUCCCACUUCAGAAGCCCAUUAAGAUGAACAUCACUGGAGUGACAAAGUCACCAUCAUUGCGACAGGAGAAUGUAUUAUGGCCACAGAGCCUCAUUGCAGACGUCCCGGAGGCUUACUUUAUAGAGAAAGCUGGCAUCGAGCCGACAGCAUUCAUCGGUCUCUUGGGAAACCUGCUUGCUCUUGUUGUAUGGAUGGCCGAGACUAGGUAUAACGCCACCACUUGUCUGUUUAAACUCCUUUGCGUUUGGGACAACGUGUUUUUAUUGACUUUAGUUGUUGGAAUAUUCAGUUCAAAUGUUGCGAACCCUUACGCUGUGAUGUUCGUCCGUGGAUUAGCGCAGAUGUUGUCUGUUUACAUCACACUGAGCGCGACGGUGACUCGCCUAUUAGCGGUCACGAGACCUCUCCACGUACGCGACAUAUUGACCCCACGUCGUGUCUACGUGAUCCACGCUGGGGUCAUUGUGUGGUGCACUGCGCUAGAGAGCAUAAACAGUGUAGCAUUGGUGAAGACACAGCUUCCAUUGCGGUUACGGUGGACAAUGUUUGUCUCGGGACAAACACUUGGAUUCAUUUUGCCUAUUGUGGCUCUGCUCAUCAUUAACGUCUGCCUGCUGAUCUUUCUGCGCAAAUUGCGAGCUGUGUCUCGCAUAUCACUUCAACGACGACCAUCUAAUGCCUCCGUAUCAGCUGACCGACGACUAAACAUCGCUGUUUUUUGCAUUUCCAUGUGCACUCUCAUCGCCUAUCCUGUCGGCAUCCUUUUCCAGGUGUUGGCGGACGGCAUCUACGGGGGUGUGAUCUAUUUUCCAUUGUACUGCAACUGGAGAUGCACUUUGAUUGUCGAAAACGUUUUUUAUCUGAUGCAGACGCUCAACUCUAGUGUCAACAUCGUCUUCUACCUGGUGUUCUCCACUCAGUUUCGAAACCUGUUGCUGCGCAGGUUGAGCGAGUCCGAGGCCUUGGACGGUCUCUCAGCACGUCCUCAUCAUUUACCUCGAGCAAAAGAACUGUAGUGUCAUCUGUGUGACCGUGCCAUACAUUAGAGAACUGUUCAGUUAGUUAUGUUCAUGCGCUCGUUAUUUUGAUGGGAUAGGGUGUUGUUCUAUUGUGUAUACUCAUGUUUGCAAAUAGUUUAAGUAUACUUUUAUUUUGUAUGUUUAUAAAUGGCAUUUACUGGAUGAACAGAGAAAUCCCUUUUUACUAUAUAUAAGCAGAAAUUGCAUUUACAUAUUUGCUUUGAUUGACUAAACUUCUAUAAAAGUGACUUUUUAUUAGAUGCCAUGAGAUAUAUACAUAUUAGAGAGAAAGCUGCUACAUUUUCCGGUAGUGGAAAGUAUUUAGGAAGUCCCAGACCUUGACCUCUAACAAAACACUGUCAUCUUUGUCGCAAACUUCACAGACAUUCGCCAUGUUACAGCUUGACUCUUGAUCUCAGGAAGUGAACUUUUGAAGGAGAUGUAAACACUAGGUCUAUUGCAUGCCUGAUUAAUUUAAAUAUCUUUCUUAUCGGUUAUAUUCAGUCACUUUUCAUAUUUUAUUUUUGGACGUGAACUUUUGUUAUAACAAUGUUCGCUUGCAUUCAUUCAUGCAUCCAGUCCGGAAGCUCAUUGAUCCUUCUCACAAACAAGACAGCAGUUUGUUCUACCUUUGCUUACUGGCUUCUAUAUUACUGCUGUGUAUUACUACUGUUAACCAUUUCAUGACUGUGAUGUUAUAUUAUUGUGCUACUGUUUACUUGUAUAUGUUUAAACGGUGUAACCGCUGUCCACACGUUAUUCAGCAAAAUGUCAGAUGAGGACAAAUACGUUCGCAAAAAUGUCAGUGAAGCAAGUUGAAAUGACCAACUACAUUAAUUUUACAGAUUUGUUAAUAUUACAAAAAAAAAAGGCUAAAAAAAGUUAUAUUUGUACAAUUAUUUCUACAGCGAUUGUCUGUUUUAAAAGCCAUUGCUGGCUAAAUAAAACUAUGUCCUAUAUUUCCCAGAUA
rnacentral:misc_RNA from 1 species